AACUGUCGAAGAGAAGGGUCGGUGGAGAGUCACCCCCGAGCCUGGUGGGCAGUUGAGUUCCAGCCAGAGCAGAGCUCACCCAGGUGGGGGGGCUCCGGGGGCAGGGCUAGAGAGGGGAGACGCCCUCCCCCCACACACUGUCAUCAGGGUAAGGACAAGGCUGAAGGAAAGGCUUGAGGCUGACACCUGGGGAGGAGGGAGACGCAGGCUGGCUGACAGAGGCUGCCCAGAGUGACCUCUGGGUCUGUUAGGUACAGGACCAGGAGCUGCAGACCUUGGGAAGCACUUCCUAAGGUCAGGACCAAAAGGAUGUCAGAUCAUCUAGUUAUCAGGCUAGUUAUUUAACCCCUCUGUGCCUCGGUUUCUUCAUCUGUAAAAUGGGGAUAAUAAUAGGACCUACUUUAUAGUGUUGGGAGGUGUUAAAUGAGUGAGUGAUGCAGAGUGCUAGCUACAUGCCUGGCACUAUUACUGACAGCUACCAUCUCUAAUUCAACCCACUGAAAACCCUUUAAGAAAGGCCUCACUACUCUAAGUGUGCUCCCUGGACCAGCGGCAGGGGUGUUUCCCGGGAGCUGGUUAGAAAGGCUGAAUCUCAGGCUCCACCCCCGAACUCCUGAAUGAGGACCCACAUCUCAAUAAGACUCCCACAGUUGGGGUCCAGAGGCGUGUCAGAGUGCGAAGCAGGAAGAGGCAGAGCAACCGAGAGCAGAGUCAGGCUUCUAACCCAGCUCUGUCUAUCACAGCUGGGCAACCCUGGGCAAGUUACUUAACGUCUCUGGAUCUCAGUGCACAUAUCUGUGGAAUGGGAUAAUAGCCUUUCAACAAGCCCAGAAGCUCCUGAGGAGGGAGAGCCAAGUGCUGGUUGGACCAGUGCCAGGACAAGAAUCAGGGAUGCUGGGACUCACCACAUCCUCCACCCUCCUUGCCAAUCGCAGGACACUGAGCCUUCCUUUGGAAGAGGGAACACCCUGAGUCUCAAAUUCUAAGGGUGGCAAAGAUUGUGAGAUCCUUCCAGAUCGGAAAUAUCAUGCUGCAUAUUGGAAGGUUUCCAACACACGGCCUCUGGCUUGGAUUUAUUUUUAUUACCAUCAGAUGCUUCUAUCAGCCUGUAUACGUUCAGGUCUGACUUCUCGCCUGUAGCAGAUGCCCCUGGAGCCCGCCACCCCACCCCCGCCAUCUUCUUGGACCAUCCGUUGUAGUGGACAGCCCUGACUUCCAACCACUGAGCACUUUUUCUGCGGGCCAGAGCGUUAUUGCCCGCCCCCAGCCAGAUGAUGCCGCCACAAAGUCCAGAAAAGGCGCCGUUAAGUGUCAGCUUCAGAGGGGCAGAGGCUAUGCCCACAGCCCAGCAGACGAUCUUCUCCACAUCUGCCCGCCUCCAGGGGAAGCAAACUCGCCAAAAGCCAAUUCACCAAAUAACCCUUUCUCAAAAUGUGCCAACUCUUCCGAAGACUAUAUUGGAGAAUGUAUCUUCCCUUGCAUAUAGUUAAAGACUCUUAACAUAUUCUUUCUGUGGAUAUAUGCAAGAAUAUAUAAUACUUCGGGCUUCCCUGGUGGCGCAGUGGUUAAGAAUCCGCCUGCCAAUACAGGGGAAACGGGUUCGAGCACUGGUCCGAGAAGAUCCCACAUGCCGCAGAGCAACUAAGCCCAUGCACUGCAACGACUGAGCCUGCGCUCUAGAGCCCGCGAGCCACAUCUACUGAGCCUGUAUGCCACAACUACUGGAGUCUAUGUGCCUAGAGCCCAUGUUCUGCAACAAGAGAAGCCACUGCAGUGAGAAGCCCUCGCUCGCCGCAACUAGAGAAAGCCCGCACACAGCAACGAAGACCC